rnacentral:rRNA from 1 species
GACGUAGGGCGCGAGCGUUGUCCGGAUUUAUUGGGCGUAAAGAGCGUGUAGGCGGCCAGGCAGGUCUGUUGUGAAAACUGGAGGCUCAACUUCCAGACGUCGACAGAAACCGCUUGGCUAGAGUCCGGAAGAGGAGAGUGGAAUUCCUGGUGUAGCGGUGAAAUGCGCAGAUAUCAGGAAGAACACCGAUGGCGAAGGCAGCUCUCUGGGACGGUACUGACGCUGAGACGCGAAAGCGUGGGGAGCGAACAGG